rnacentral:rRNA from 1 species
GAUGAACGCUAGCUACAGGCUUAACACAUGCAAGUCGAGGGGAAACGACAUCGAAAGCUUGCUUUUGAUGGGCGUCGACCGGCGCACGGGUGAGUAACGCGUAUCCAACCUGCCCAUCACUUGGGAAUAACCUUGCGAAAGUAAGACUAAUACCCAAUGACAUCCCACGACGACAUCUGAAUGGGAUUAAAGAUUUAUCGGUGAUGGAUGGGGAUGCGUCUGAUUAGCUUGUUGGCGGGGUAACGGCCCUCCAAGGCAACGAUCAGUAGGGGUUCUGAGAGGAAGGUCCCCCACAUUGGAACUGAGACACGGUCCAAAGUCCUACGGCAGGCAGCAGUGAGGAAUAUUGGUCAAUGGACGAGAGCCUGAACCAGCCAAGUAGCGUGCAGGAUGACGGCCCUAUGGGUUGUAAACUGCUUUUAUAAGGGAAUAAAGGGGGUCUAGUGAGACUUUUUGCAUGUACCGUAUGAAUAAGGACCGGCUAAUUCCGUG